GACAGAGGGUGCAAACGUUGUUCGGAAUUACUGGGCGUAAAGCGUGCGCAGGCGGUGAUGUAAGACAGAUGUGAAAUCCCCGGGCUCAACCUGGGAACUGCAUUUGUGACUGCAUCGCUGGAGUGCGGCAGAGGGGGAUGGAAUUCCGCGUGUAGCAGUGAAAUGCGUAGAUAUGCGGAGGAACACCGAUGGCGAAGGCAAUCCCCUGGGCUGACACUGACGCUCAGGCACGAAAGCGUGGGGAGCAAACAGG
rnacentral:rRNA from 1 species